ACACGACUACAUUAGAUACCCCCGUAGUCCUAGGCGUAAAUGAUGCGAGUUAAGUGUGGGGGCAUCUACGAGAUGGCCCUGUGCUGUAGGGUAGCCGUUAAACUCGCUGCCUGGGGAGUACGGUCGCAAGGCUGAAACUUAAAGGAAUUGGCGGGGAGCACCACAACGGGUGGAGCCUGCGGUUUAAUUGGACUCAACGCCGGGAAGCUCACCGGAUAAGACAGCGGAAUGAUUGCCGGGCUGAAGACCCUGCAUGACCAGCUG
rnacentral:rRNA from 1 species